rnacentral:rRNA from 1 species
AGUGAACUCUGGCGGCAGGCCUAACACAUGCAAGUCGAACGGCAGCACAGUAAGAGCUUGCUCUUACGGGUGGCGAGUGGCGGACGGGUGAGGAAUACAUCGGAAUCUACUUUUUCGUGGGGGAUAACGUAGGGAAACUUACGCUAAUACCGCAUACGACCUACGGGUGAAAGCAGGGGAUCUUCGGACCUUGCGCGAUUGAAUGAGCCGAUGUCGGAUUAGCUAGUUGGCGGGGUAAAGGCCCACCAAGGCGACGAUCCGUAGCUGGUCUGAGAGGAUGAUCAGCCACACUGGAACUGAGACACGGUCCAGACUCCUACGGGAGGCAGCAGUGGGGAAUAUUGGACAAUGGGCGCAAGCCUGAUCCAGCCAUACCGCGUGGGUGAAGAAGGCCUUCGGGUUGUAAAGCCCUUUUGUUGGGAAAGAAAAGCAGCAGGUUAAUACCCCGCUGUUCUGACGGUACCCAAAGAAUAAGCACCGGCUAACUUCGUG